rnacentral:lncRNA from 1 species
AGUCCCAACACUCUGUCAGCAUCGGCACACAGACCAGGGGAAAGCUUUGCCACUCUCCUGAGCCUCACCCAAGACCUCUUUCUCCGAGGACCAUGAUCCCUGACCCGGCUCUGCUCACAUCACAGGAUGCAUGCUCACCCCGGACUUCAUCUACUGCCCACGGUGCUGCCCACAGUCACGGUGGGUCUUUCCUAUACCAGAACCUCAUCUGAGGCCUCCCUCACAGAAGCGUCAAGAGAUGUGUCACCAAGGCCACUCUAGUGCCUGUCAAGUUGACUAUGAAUAUAAAGCAUCAUGCGAAGGCCCCUGCUUCUUAUUAUCCAGGAAAUGACACAACAUUCAUCCAGAAGGCCAAGGGAUAGUUAAUUAUUAUAAUUAGUAUAUUUAGCAAUUAUUCUAAUAAAAAAUCUCAUUAGCAAUCAUUGU